AGUUUUUUUAUUUUUAUUUUAAGUGUGCCGAAAUGUGUGUGUGUGUGUAUGUGAAUGUGUUUUAUUUUUCUUUUAUUUAUUUAUUUAGUUAUUGUUCCCAUUAUAGAAAAGGAAAGGGGUUGUAUGAAUCUAGACCUGAUGUGAGUUUUGAGCAUUUUUCCUUUUAUUAUUAAAAGAAAAUAAAAUAGAAAAGAAAAUAAAUAUAAGUUGUCAUCUUGUAGGAAAAGAUGACAAGGUUUAUUUUUUAUUUGGUUCACAUAAGGAUAAGGGUUUAGGUGAGGUGUAAGGAGAGGAAAUGAUGGGAUUUAGCUUGAAUUAUGGGAUAGGAAUUUGGCUUUUCACACUUGAGUCCUUUUGUUAAGGUUAGGUCACUAGAGGCUAUAAAUAGGAGAGCAUGGAAGCCUUGGCAUUCUUUUUCUUGUGGCUGCCGAAAUUAGUGAUAGAAGGAGAGAGAGAGAGAGGCGUGAAAGAGAGAGAAGGAGGAGAAGAAACGAAGAAGAAGGAGGAGGUCUUAGGGUAUUCAAGGGUGAUUAUCACUUGGGUAUUGAUCAAGUUGUGUUCUUGAUUUUACAAUCAAGAGAGGCUCGUUGAGAAGUUGUGGUUUUACUUAGCUUGGACCUGAGGUAAGGAAGUUAGAUAGAAUUUAUGAUUGUUAUAUUAUGAAUGGUAAGACUGUUGUGUGAAUGAAAUGUUAUGAAUUAUGAAUGUCAUAAUGUGAUGAUAUGUUGGCUUGUAUGAACGUUGUAUGAUAUGAAUGGAUGUUAGCGUGAUGAACGCGACACAUCAAAAUGGGUUGCUAAGGAUAAGAAGACGUAACCCGAAUUACUAAGGAUAUGAAGACAUAAUUCCAUGGGCGGACACGCCGAGGUUGUUCAAGGACCAGAGACUCUUGUUUACCUCAAAGGGUGGCAUGGACAAGUUUGCGGGUCAUGUUCACAAGGAAUUGUUUAUGAUGUUUGGUGAUGUUUAUGAUUAUGUUAUGAUGUUUGGUGAUGUUUAUGAUUUUGUUAUGAUGUUUAUGAUAUGAUGGUGGCAUUAUGUUGACGUGGAUAUGUUUAUGUUUAUGAUAUUGAUGCUAAUUUUAUGAUGAUGCUAUGAUGUAUAAAGAUGAAUGAUAGUGUUUGUAAUUUGUUGUAUCUUACUUGCUUGUUGUUUGUACUUCCUUACUGGGCUUUUAGCUCACCCCCUUACUUUCC